rnacentral:misc_RNA from 1 species
ACACCUCAACUCCUCAUGGCUUGCCAUGAUGAGCUUGGACUUUGGGGGUCUUGCUGGCCUGCAGUCAGCUCCUCUCAAAUGAAUCAGCUUGCCAGUGUUUGGUGGCGCCACAGGUGUGAUAAACAUCUACUCUUGUGGUCCCCUGCCAUGUAACCUUCAGCGAUGGAGGUUUGCUGGAGCUCACAAAUGUCUUUCCUCAGUGAAGACAGAUCUUUGAUU